CGAACCUCUUCCCUCUCUCAAGUCUUCGAUCGCCGCCGUCCCGCGCCGUCUCCUAAAGAUCGCCCCCGGGAGCUCUGCCGCGAGAUCCGGAGGAUCGCCUGAUGGUGGACCAUGCGAUGACAUCGUGAGUCACGAGAUCGAAAGCUGUAUGAAAUCUUGCGUCCGGUCAGGCUUCCGAUCUUUUCCGCCAACCAAAACUGGAGGACGGGAGCUGCUAAUCUUGUCUAUGUUAUCCCUGCAUCUGGAAAAAGAUGGACACUAAUUACUGGACCUCAGAUGUGGAAUGGCUGUGUGAGGGAGGGAUCCAUUAGGCACCCUCCUUGAAUCGACGAUGGCAUCUCACAAAUGGACAAGCAGACCUGCUGCCUCCUCUUGUUGGGAACGCUGAAAUCUUAGCCUUUUCUAUUUGGAAAGGCACAGGACGAACAUAACAAGGACCGCGGCAAUAAGUUUGGUAUCGCACAAGGCUUUGGAAUGAAGGGUAGGCAGAAGAAGACACAAGAAAAGACACAUGGACACAAGGAAGGGAUGGUGAUUCGAGGAACGACCGGUGUUGUUGCACGUCAAUGAUCGGGAUGGCGUUGCACCGAAAGAGACCACCACCCGUCCUCAUGUUUUUUAUUGUUUUUGAUCGAUUUCAAGAAAUCAAAUUAUUUUCUACGUCUCUCA